rnacentral:lncRNA from 1 species
ACCGUCUUCAUGGUCUGAGCUGUUGUGGCUGCAGUCACUGCCUCUCUCUGGCGAGCUGUGACUGGGCGAAUCCCGGUCCGGCACGCGCAGGAACCUCUUGCGCCCCCACUGGGCGAGGUGCUCCCGAGCCCCGCGUCUGGGGGACUCAUCCUCUGCCUCCAGCUGCUCCAGGUCUCGACUCCGCCGCCGGUGGUGCCGCCAGCCUCCGGAGAUCAGGUGCAUCCAACGGUGGGGACUGCAGGGCCUCGCGGGUUUUUCCGCCUCAUCGCGGGUCCCAAAUCGGCAGGGGGCCAUAAGUAGAUGGCCGAGAACGAAUUUCUCAUUCAAAUCCACCAUCUCGAAGUCGUGGUCACUGCAGUCGCCUCCAUCAUCCCCACCCGAAGCGUCCGGUUCGCCCUCCUCCGAGCCCCGCCCUGUCCCGGUCUCAGAGGACCGCUCCUCUCCGGGUACAGUGGACCCCGUGCCAUCGUUGCCGGGGGGCGCACAGUCCUCUCGGAGCCUGAAGAGCAGGCGAGGCUGCACCAGUUGCUGGUGGAUGGCAGCGGUCAGACUGCGCACGGCGCCCCCUCCUUCCAUCGCCCCGGGCCAGGCAGGAAGGUCCAGGCACACGUAGGGGGACGGCUCCGCCGGUGUCGCCACCUCCGAGCCCGGGUGCGCGGGGCCAGGGGAAUCUGGGUCGCGACCCGCUGCGCCCUCCUUGUCGCGCGGCGGCGGCGCGCGCACGGGCCCGGCUGGCUCCUGCUCCUUCACCGAGGCUCCUCCGCUCCCUGUGUCGCUGCUGCAGCCUCCGCCGUCCCCGCCCUCUGACCGCCCGCCCGGUAGCUCCAUCUUCCCUCCAGCCAGGGCCGCCUGCAGGGCCCAUAUAGCUGGGAAUUGCAGCAUACAUCUUCCGU